AGGCACCUACAGAACUAU
rnacentral:miRNA from 1 species